CCAUGGACACCCAGCAUGAACUGGGCUCUGCUUCACUCACAGGGCUGUGUGGUGGGAGCCCUCUGCACGGGGACCUCUUACAAAGUCUCCAGAAAUGGGACUGAUCUGCUGCUGCCCUGCCUGCUGUGGGCACGCGCCUUCCCUCCGCCGUUUCCAGACUUGCCAGGAGAUGGGAACCGGGAAUGAUCUUAAUGGAGCAGAAAGGAUGAUUCAUUAGUUCUUGCUUUGCAAAUCGCUUCCUCGCAUUUACAUGAAAAUAAGGUGCGUGCACCAUCGGGGGGCUUUCAGCGGCACGUCCACGAGGGACAACCACCAGAUGAGUGCCACACAGCGCUGGCUCCUCCGCCCGCCCGCGGCAGGUGACGGCGCAGGCGGUGGCAGAACGGUGUCACGCCUUGGCAAAUUUCCCCCGGGGCAGCCAGAGAAAGAGGGUGUUGCUGUGAUGAGAAGAAAUGAAAUAUGACAUAGUUCUUAGAGAAACAGUGCUUUCAAAACAAAAGGACUGCUUUAGGUCAGAGAUUUAACUGUGUGCAAGUAUACUCAAAGCCUUUUGAAGACACAUUUCACCUGGCCAUGCUGUCCUACAGUUCAAGCUGUGAAGUUGUGAUAAGAAUCUUCCACUUCAAUUUACAGCGCGAGAAGGAACAAAAAAGCCCAUUCUGUUGCUGUGGACCAAACCACUGAGCACAAGUCACAUCUGGAUGAAGUGCUGAGCUGACUGAUCGUGACUGCCUUCUUGUAAUGCCAAAGAAAUAUGCCGCUCAGGACACCUGUCUGAAGUAAUCUACAUAACCUUCCUCCCUACAUCCCUCCCUUUCUCCCUUGCUUCUCCCUUCCCCGGGUUCCCCACUAAGCACAUGGUGGGAAGCCACACAGUGGUUUCCCUCACCACCCUCACCACACACCCACAACACCUCCCACAGCAGCCACAGGAUGAAUUUGGGUAAUGCUGCCAGCUCCCCACGGCUUUGGUCUCUCCAAAAGCUCUCUGGUUCGGUGCCCAGUCUACCUUCUCCACGGAGGGUUUUUCUGAGGUCCAUGACGUGUGUGAACACAGUGCCAGGACCAUUUUGCGCCUCUUCAUGUUGCAGAGGAGCUUCUGGAGCAGCACCUACGGUGUUUCAAAACUCGUGCAUGGGGUUGGCGGGGGGCCGUACGCUGAGCAAGACGAGCGGCAGCCACGGGACCACGACGGCAGGCGUUGCGUGCAACCUGGCUGGCAGAAAAGCAGAACAACUGGGGUCUAAUGGGAUUAUUACAGUGCAAAGUUAUUCUGUCGAGAUAAGGAAGAAUUUUAAUGACUUUUGUAAAAGGCAUCAAGCAAUUGUUAGCCAAUCGGCCCGACUUUCCGAGAGGGCUGGUUUUAUAUACGUGGGAUUGCCUUGCUUAGAGGCUCCCAGACAGCUCCAUGAUACCAAAUGACUGAAAGGGGAGAUAAAUCUCUCAAUCUCUAUUUUAAUUUCAAUACAAUUGCCUUAUUACAGCGUCAUGUUAGGAAUAUGCAUGGUACUUCCCAAGGGUUUUGCUUUUCCCAAUAGCAAAUGUCUCACUCACAGUUUGGGCAGAACGGUUCUCUUGCUAAAUUGCUCACAAUGCAAGCUAUUAUAGAACAGAGGUACCCUGUGGGUAUGAUUGAAAUUUAUAUUCAAGGAACAAUCAAGAAUGCCAAGUGCACUGGAUAAACUGUAGGUAGGUGGCAGAAGGCAGAUAAGCAGCCUAGGAGGUUUAAGUUACAGGAUCUUAAGCCGCAGAAAGAUUCAUUCUAUAAUUUACAUUACAACCAGUUUCAUUUGUAGAAUGAAUAAUGGAAAGCUCACACAGAUAAGUAUUUGAGGUCCAAUCCUGGGAAGUGUUGAGCACUCAGCUCCCACAGAAGUCAGUGUUCAAGCCAGGCUUUUUAAAAUGUAUGUCUCUGCAGCACAGGGGAGCUAACUUGUUGGUUAGCAGCCCCUGCAGAUAAUCAAGCAAGAGGAGCGGCGCUUUCACCGUGCUGCUCCUGCGCUCCCACUCUAACACAUUUGCUUGCUUUGAAUAACGCUGCACUGUAAAGAUAUAAAUCAUCGCACUAAAAAGUAUAGAGUGAAUGAUUUAUUUAUUUUAAAAACACCGAUAAAAACAUGUAAGUGUUGCUCUGGGAAACUCUAUCCAUUUUCCUUUUGCUGAGUAGAGGCAGGCAAAGAUUUAUGCAUAUUCUUAUUCAUACACACGUCUCUGUUCAAGUCUGACUGAAAACUAGUAAAUCUCUAGCCUUCCCUUCCCUCAUCUCAGGCCGUCACAGGUAGAGGGACGACAGCACUGAAAAAGCGAUGCACCACAGGCAACAUCAGAGUGGUUUCUGCCUGUCAGCCUCUGCUGGUACCUCUCUGCCUCCUUGGGCUCAUGGGCAGCUCUAGGCCAGGAGUCCGUGGGCUAGGAACGUGGUGUCAGGUCCUGUCUGCAUCAAAAAGUUAUUUGCGUUUGGUUUUUGGCAGUUAAACUGACAAACCCCUAUCCUGAUAUAGCUUAAAUAUUUUUCCAGUGACUGGAUUUAACUGUCCCCAAAGUAUCUCCAACUAAAAGAAAGUAGCCAAAAUGGUGUAAGCUGCUAAAGGAGGAGGGAGGGGAGCACAGAGCUGUAAGAAUCUCCCCAGGGUCACAGCAAUAUUACUUGGAGUUGAGUCCUGCAUUACCUGAGCCACGAAAGCUUUGAGAACAUGCAGGCAAAGGUUUGGCUCUGGCCCAUGCCCUUGUGUUAUUAGAUAAAAGUGAGAAAUGCUCCUAAGCUGGCUAUGAGAAAUUGAACGUGUUCUUACUAAAUAAUUAUUAAUUUAACUGUCAUUUGCAUGAAACCCUGCAGUUUCCUCCUACUUUCCAUUAGCACAAGACAAAGCACCUGACAACUCUCAGAACUCCCAGAGCCCAGUGCAGUUUCUCCUGGAAAACCAUCUCCCCCGUGAAGCAGCCAGCGAUA